UACAGAGGUGGCAAGCGUUGUUCGGAAUUACUGGGCGUAAAGGGCGCGUAGGUGGCCUUUUGAGUCAGACGUGAAAUCCCCCGGCUUAACCUGGGAACUGCGUCUGAUACUGGAAGGCUUGAGUUCGGGAGAGGGAUGUGGAAUUCCAGGUGUAGCGGUGAAAUGCGUAGAUAUCGAGAGGAACACCUGCGGCGAAGGCGGGUUGCUGGGCUGACACUGACGCUGAGGCGCGAAAGCUAGGGGAGCGAACAGG
rnacentral:rRNA from 1 species